UACGGGGGGUGCUAGCGUUGUUCGGAAUCAUUGGGCGUAAAGAGCGUGUAGGCGGCAUGAUAAGUCGGAUGUGAAAUCCCCGGGCUUAACUCGGGAAGUGCAUUCGAAACUGUCAUGCUUGAGUAAGGGAGAGGGAAGCGGAAUUCCUGGUGUAGAGGUGAAAUUCGUAGAUAUCAGGAGGAACACCAGUGGCGAAGGCGGCUUCCUGGCCCUAUACUGACGCUGAGACGCGAGAGCGUGGGGAG
rnacentral:rRNA from 1 species